AUGGGGUCAGCUUCUCUCCUGCUAUGGGUACUGCUGCUCUGGGUUCCAGGUUCUACUGCAGACAUUGUGCUGACCCAGUCUCCGCCUUCACUGAGUGUGUCUCUAGGGCAAAGGGCUACCUUGUCUUGUAGGUCCAGCCAGAGUGUCACUAUACGUAGAACUCAUCUUAUGAACUGGUAUCAACAGAGACCAGGACAGCCCCCACAACUCCUCAUCUAUGCAGCAUCCAACCUAGAAUCUGGGGUCCCUGCCAGGUUCAGUGGCAGUGGGUCUGGGACAGACUUCACCCUCACCAUCAAUCCUGUGGAGGCUGAUGAUGCUGCAACCUAUUACUGUCAGCAGACUAGAGAGCUUCCUCCCACAGUGCUCUAG